ensembl:snRNA U6 U6 spliceosomal RNA
GUGCUCACUUCGGCAGCACAUAUAGUAAAACUGGAACGAUACAGAGAUUAACGUGACCCCCUGCACGAGGAUGACACACAAAUUAGUGAAGCGUUCCAUAUUAAA